CUUUUUGUUUUGAGAAAGGGUCUAUCUCUCUCCUCUCCCCUCUCCUCUCUCAUUUCUUCUCCUCUCCGUCUCCAUGUUCCCCACCCACCCACCCACUCUCACCCUGCCUGUCCUGGAACUCCCUACACAGACCAGGCUGACCUCAAAGUCAUGGCAAUCUCUGCCUCCUGAGUGCUGAGGUGAAAGGCCAUGACAGCUUUUUUUUUUUUAAUGGUUGAUAGCAUGUGCAUGCAGGUACAUGGGUGCCACAGUGUGUGUGUGGAAGUCAUGUGUGGGAGUUGAUUUUCAUUGUCCACCGGUUGAGGCAGUUUGAAGGGGCUCCAAAAUAGCUUGACCACACAGCAGCCAUGACAGGCUUAGCGGCCUAGACACAGCUUCUGUGACAGGCUAACUGGCAGGCAACACCCAGAUCCAGGAAAAGCCUUAAGCUGAUACCACCCAGGGGUCCACCCAGGGGUGAGCAAGUACCUGACAUCCCAAACAUUCCAACCAUUAGAUAAGGUGACCAGAUGCCCUUGAGUCUAGCACAUACCUAUUUUUUUUUUACAGAUACCCCUACAAAAUUGCCAGCUAAUCAGCUAAUUAAUAAUUAAAAAAAUUAUUUUUGGGUGUUUGUGUGUGAGUGAAGGCAUGUGGUGUCCCAGAACAACUUUGUGGGGUCAUUUCUCCCCUUCAGUCUUUCCAUGGAGUGUGGGCUUGAACUAGGUUGUCAGGCUUGUAUGUACUGGCUGAGCCUUCUCCAUGCCCCACCCCUAUCCUCUUGUUUCUUUCUUUGUUUUUUGAGACAGAGUUUGUCUGUGUAAGAGCCCUGGCUGUCCUGGAACUAGCUCUGUAGACCAGGCUAGCCUUGAACUCACAGAGAUCUCCCUGCCUCUGCUUCUCAAGCAUGCUGUGGGAUUAAAGGAGUGUGCCACUACCACCCAGCUUUGUAGUGUGUGUGUGUGUGUGUGUGUGUGUGUGUGUGUGUGUGUGUGUGUGUGCUCUAUUUGCUGUAUGCCUGCAUGUCAGAAGAGGGCAUCAGAUUCCAUUAUAGACAGUUAUGAGCCACCACAUAGAUGCUGGGAACUGAACUCAGGACCUCAAGAAGAGCAGCCAGAGUUCUUAGCCCCUGAGCCAUCUCUCUAACCCCAGAAUAAACUCUUCUCUCUCUCCCCUCCUCCCCUUUGAUUUUUCCAGACAGGGUUUCUCUGUGUAGCCCUGGCUGUCCUGGAACUCACUCUGUGGACCAGGCUGGCCUCAAAUUCAGAGAUUCUCCUGCCCCCAAAGUCCUGGAAUUAAAAGCUGCUCCACCACCUUCUGUCCAGUGUUUCUUUCUCUAGCAGUGCUUUUGAUACAUUGUUUUUUAAAAACAGACAAAGUUCCCACCCCAAAUCACAGUGAUCCUCCAGUCUCUUCAGUUAGCUUUGCUUUUCUCUUAACCGUUGAUUCCCUGGUUUACUUUGUAUCUGGUGGGAAGUGUGGGAGCAGCUCGCUUGCUUUUCUCUCCAUGGAGGCCCUGGCUGCUGUGGUGGCUAACAGCCUCUCCCCCUGAUGCCCUAGGAUCUGGGUGCUCUGGGUCCCUCCUGGUUCUUCCAGGUCCCAGCACCUCACAUUCCUGCUGUUAGAGUGUUUACUGUGGUUUUUGUGAUGUGUUCUAACAUCGGGUAGGCUGAGUCCCUUCUAGGGUCCUUUUCAAAACUGACAAAGCUGUUCAUGGACCUCUUCACUGUUAUAUACAUUUAAAUGAGUAUCAAGUUCCUUUCAAAAAUUAUUUAUAGAUUACCUUAAGGAGAAUGGACAUCUUUAUAAUAUGAAGGUAACUCAUUGACACAGAUAUCCUCAUUUAUGUAGACUCUACUGUUAAUUUCUUCCUCCUUUUUGAUUUUAUUUCUUUUUAUUUUGUGUGUCUUAGUGUUUGCCUGAAUGUCUGUAUACCACAUGCAUGCAGUGCCUGCAGAGGCCAGGAGGGGGUGGAGGAUCCCCUGAAACUGGAGUCACAGAUGCUUGUGAGCAACCCUGUAGGGAAAUGCAUGCUCAACAUUGUAGGAAGCUGCCAGCUUUCCAAAGUGGCUGUUCAUUUCACAUUUAUACUUAGUUUUGUUUGUUUGUUUGUUUGUUAGACAAGGUCUUAUUAUGUAGCUCUGGCUGGCCUGUAGCUUGCUAGGUAGACCAGGCUGGCCUUGAGCUCAGAGAUCUGCCUGCACCUACCUCCUGAGUGCUGGGAUGAAAGGCCUCUACCACAGUUUCUGGCAUCACCUACCCUCAAUAUGUAGCAUAAUAUUCAGUAUUGGAGGUGAGCAUAUUAAAGCACAUGAGGCUGUAACACAUCAUUUGUAACUGCCUCUUGUACCCUUUGUUAUUUGAGUCCCACCUAAGACUGCUUUGGUAACUAUGGUUGGUUAUUUGUUCUGUUCUGUUGAGACAGGGUCUGAUGUAACCCAGGCUGGCCUUGAACUCCUGACCCUCCUGCCUCCACUUCUCAAGUGCUGGGAUUACAGGUGCAUGCCAGCAUGCCCCGCUUGCUGACUAGGAUUUCUUAGAAGUUUUUCUAACUGAACCCUUACCUCCCUGCCUUUCAGGCUCAUCAGAGUUCUCACAUUACACCGGGAGUCUCACCGUCUCCAUCUCCUUCUCUGAACCCAAGUUGUGAUGCCCCAGCUUUUCCCAUGAAUGUGUCAUCCAGUUUCUGCCUACAUGAGACUCCUUUUCCCGGUAUCUCAGCUCCAAGGAGAGCCAGGCCAAGAGCAGGAAAAAGAUAGAGGACCUGUGGAGGAAAUGACAACCUGAUAACCAGCUCCUGUGACCCAGGGAACAGUCUCCCUCCAGCCACAAGCCCUUAUCAUCUCUCUCCACAGCUUUCCCCAGAACCCUCUUUGGUUUUACACUCUCCCUUUCCUGCCACCCUGGAAAGAUCUAGAGACUCUCCAACCACCAACUUUGUGCAGCUUCUGCCUGCUGCCCUCUCUCCUCCCCCUCCAUAGCUAUUCUUAGAGAUGCCUAAUUUUCCUUCUCUGCUCCCUUACACCCCACUGUCACCUUUCCUAGCCCUAAACUGAUUUGCCCCCGCCCCAACCUGGGGCUGCUGGCACCCUCUAUUCUAUCCACUGGGCUCUUGGCUGAUGCUCUCUAAACUGUUUUUGCAGCAUCCAUACCCUGGGCUAGUCCCUCCUGGGGACAUGACAAAUGACACUCAUUUGCUUGGUUUUCAUCUUGCUGGUGUGGUUGGUCCUAAUCAGCCUUCUCUGUGGCUCCCUCUUCCUCUACCUUUCUGGAACAGUAAACCUGUUUUCAGAGCAUUCUUGGGCUUUCCUAACAUAUACUCCAUAAACACCUGGAACAUACUUUGCUGUGCCUUUAAUCACCUCUGCCCCAGACUCAAGUUUUUAUCUCUGCUCCAGACCCUUUUCUCUGAGGCCUAGAUCCUUAGGUCUGAUUGUCUCUCAACCUCUCUUCUUACAUGUUCCACAAGUACAGAAACAGUGUACCUCAUCUGAGAGGCUCAGGAAGAUCCUGAAUUUGAAGCCUGCUGUGGACUACAAAGGAAGACUCUUCUCAUGAACACAACAACAAAAAACAAACAACAAAACAGAAAGCAACCAAACCCAAACCUCCAAUACGCCAAAAAGCAACUUCGUUAUCUAAAUCGCUUCAUCUGCUAGCCAUGGAGGUGCAGGACUGUCAACACUCCUAACCUUGGGAAGCAGAGGCAGGAAGAGCAUGAGUUCAGGGCCAGCCUGGGCUGUAUCCUGAAACUUUUUCUCAAACAAACACACCCACAGAAAAACAGCACUCCUCCUCUGUUGUCCACAACUACUCAUUGACCUGAUCACUCUGAAUACUCUCAGUGCUACUGCCUUCUUCGACUCCCCCAUUAUCGAGAAUGCUGAUUUAACUCUGGUUUCUAUCAAUUCUUUCCAUUGUCCACUGCCCAGGCCUGGGCACUAUCUCCUCCUUUCCUGCAGUAGCCUUCUGGUUUAUCCCGGAAAUCUCCAACUUCCCUUCUAGUUUCCAUGGCAGAAUUGCCUGCAAGUGUGCUAAUCUGUUGACCACUUGAACUCAUCAUGGCUCCUGAGAGCUCCAGGAGGCCAUCUGCAGUACCUAACAUGACCUUCAGGGCCUGCGAGUCUGAGUCUUGCCCACCUGCCUGCUCAGCCCCCUUGUCUAGUGCUCCCCACCUCCUGAUCCUUCUUUGCUGUCCUUCAACUUUCAUUCAUUACCUUUUCCCAACACACAUCUGGUGAGUUCCAGCUCAACAUUCAUCCCUCUGGGAACUGUUCUGAUUUCGAAGCCUGGGUUUGUCCUGUGUUGCAGAAAGUCAGCUGUUAGGUCUGUUGGGUCACUGCCCAUCUCAUGAUGUAAGGAUCCUACCUCCUCAGAGGGGGACCACGAACAUGAGCUUUCCCAUCUCUGCUCACUGCUGAUGACCGGACAAGGGGUAGACACACACUAAUUGCAGCCGAUUCCUGGACUUGCCACUUACAUCAUGUGCUGCGUGGAACAACCAGGGCAGAAUCAAGAGGUGAGGCAGAAGGUAGCAGAGAUAGAGGCUAUGAUGGUGAGCCUUUGGGGAUGGAGGUUUUUCUACUGUAUUGCUGUCACCUUUCAGGUAUAAGCCACAGGAAAAUGAUACAUUGCCUAGGCCUGGGAUGUGGUGCACAUCUUUAAUCCCAGCACUUUAUUAAAAAAAAAAAAUGGCUAGAGCCAGGGAGUGUAGCAAGUGCUAUAGCCUUAGUGGUUCUGUAGGCUGAGAUGGGAGUUCCACACCAGCCCAGGCAAAACAGCAUUACCAUGUCUUGUGGUGCAUGUGGUGAUGCAUACCUCUAAUCCCAGCAACUAUGAGGAGGUUGAGGCAGGGGGAUGGCUAAGAUGAGGUUGGUUUGGCCACAUAAUGAGUUUGAGGCCAGCCUGAACUACCUAACAUGUUUCUGUCUCAACCUCCAAACAAAAACAAACGACAUUGGCUACUUCAAAGACUUUCUGGGCAGAAAAACCAGACAUGGAGUUAUGUGGCCAGGAACAGUUCCCAGAACCCUGCUGUAGAACCAGUCUGGUGAGCAGAUCUCUGCCCUGCUGCAAGACCAAGUCACUGAAGCUUGUAUCGCCACAGCCGCCAGGCCAGACAUUGUUCCGCGACUCCUGAGGCUGCAGAGCUCCACACUGCCCAUCCUCCUCUGCGAUUAUGAGCUAACGGAAGCCUGGAUGUGAGUCUGGUUAGUCACAUGCCUGGUGCCCAACUGCCAAGGGAGCCCAGGAAGUCAGAGUUUUGGUUAUUUUUCAACUUCUGAAAUAGGAAGCAUGUUCUGUUUCUCCAAAGAUCUGAAAGUUGAGGAAAUUUCCAAACAGAGAAGAACUCAUGUUCUUUGUGUCUA